UCCUUCACACGGGCGGGUCGGGGAGCAGGGCCAGCGAGCAGAGCGGAGACGGGAACACGGCACUGCUGCGUCCGCCCCUGGCCUGCUCCGGGAGGCAGCCUCAGCUGGCGGGGCCCGGGGACCAGGUGCUGGCAGGGAGCAGGGCAGCCGGAGUGGCGGGCCCAGCUCAGCAGGGGUGUGUUGAGACUGACUUCUGCUGGUUUCAGGUUCCCCUCCCUGGAAGCACGGGGAGUGGGGGGGGGGGCGGCUGGAGGCUCAGGUUUCCCCCCACCAUCCUCUGCUUCUUUGGUGCUGGCGGUGAUUGGCCGUGGCCAUGAUGUCAUCGCCUAAUCCAAACAGAAGGGGGGUUGGUGCUGGCUGGCGUCCCCGUGCUGAGUGCAGCAGUAAAUUUCAUUUCAAGGCUAUGAUUAGGACGGUGCCCAAGAAUUUCCUUUCUCUCUCCUUCCCUCCCCUCCUCUCCCCUGGCCCUCUCUUCUCCGGGAUGCUGAAGGAAGGUUCGCCCGGUGGCCAGCACCGGUCCAGGCUCUUGCCGCCUUCCGUGAGGCUCCGUGACCAGCCCUGGCAUGUACGGGCUCGGUCCCAGCCCCGAGACGGCACCCAGGGAGUAUGGGGUGAGAAUCCCUAAGGGCGCUCGUUCAACCUUGAGCUGAAACGUCAGAACAACAGAGAGAGCAGGGGUGGGGUGGCCCUGGUCAUCAACGAAACGAUCGGAAGACAGCAGAGCCAUGAGAGGCAAGGAGAAACACAGCUCCUUAGAAAGUGAGUCGUUGGGUCCUUGUGGCCAUCUCCAGAUGGUUUCUGGAGUUUGGGUCUGGCCCACUGGCACCUUCAGCCCCUCCUUGGCUGGGGGGACCUGCCAGGCUCCACACCCUUUGGUGACUGCGUCUGACGCCAAAGGGACGGUCCAGCCCCCAGAGGCAGGUGGGACCAUGGGAGCGGUUCCCCACCAUAUCCCCCUGCUUCCCUCCUCUUCCCGGGGACCCCAAGCUCUGUCCUAGGGUUCCUGGCCCCAGAGGCAAGCCUGAGAGUCAGCCACCUGAGUGUCCCCUGCAUUCUCCAGCUGCCACUCAGCACACCCCCAACAAGUGUGACCUAGAUGCCCACGGGGGAGGCGCUGGGGUCUGGGGGUGGUGAUGUUCCUGCACCGAGCGCGCUGUGGGUCCUCGUCAUUGCUCCCCUAUCACAUCGGACUGUGGUCUGACUCCUCGGGGACGUGGGGGGGGGGCGUCCGCGUUCCCCGACCCCCGACCUCCAGCAGACCCGAGCACUCCUUCCCCACCGAGCCUUGGUGUGGCCCAAGAUCCCUCCUCGCUGUGCCCCAGGCCGCGGGCCCAGCCAGCCGAAGGCGGCGCCCAGUGGAGUUGCGUGGAGAAUGGGUCGCCCUAAGAGGGAGCGGAGAUGGACAUGACCCGGUCACAGCUCACUGUCUGGCCUCCUUAGGCCCCUUGCGUGUCCCCUAGCAGGUUACUCGUCUUUGUGUCUGUCUUCCCCUCGACUCCCUGCUCCUUAAGGUUAUUUGUUCGUUCGUUAAGCUCAUUUGUUCGUUCAUCGAUUCAGUGAGGAUGUGUUGGGCACCCGCCAUCUGCCAGGCCUGUGCAGGUGCCGGGCGCCCAGAGGGAACAGACGUGGCCCGGUUCUUCCUCCAGCAGCAACCGGCCGUUAGCAGAAACGCGGACAGAAACAAGUACAAGCAGCAUACUCACAUGGAGGGAGAGCCACCCAUCCCCAGCUUCCAGAACCAUCAGCUCAUCAGCACCGGCCCCAGUGGGAUCUUCUGAAGCAAAUCCCAGAUGUUGUAGUUCCUGGCCAUAUGCCCAAUCAGGGUCCACUGAACUAGGCUGCCCGGUGACUUCUGCUUGUGACCCGGAAGGCCUCUCUGCCCUGAACCCCCUCCCUUGGACACCAGGGUUGGUGGAGACCCAGGUAAGCACUUUCUUCAAGAGCUCAAGGCCCUUGGGAAUGAGCAGAAAAAGGGGCUUUCCAGCCAGCGGGAGGGACAAGAGGAGGAUGCCCUCCUCCUGGAGGCGGGUGAGGAAGGCUCUUCCCACCUGGGGAAGCCCAGGUGCCCUAGUGAAACCGUCUGGAUCUUUGGGCUUUAAGGAAUAAAUAUCCAGGUGGGAUGUUUAGCCAAAGUGGGCUUUAUUGGAAGGAAGCAGAGAACGCGGUGAGACUGACAGGUGCAGCUGUGCAUCCGGGACCUGAGAGCCCCCAGGGCUCCUUCCCCCUUCCUCCUCUUGCUCCCCUGGGUGACUCAGCUCGGCCCCUCGCCUCUCCCUGGCUCUCCUGGUUCGGCUGCUCCCCUACAACCUGCCGGCCCUUUGGUUCAAAGCCUGUCAUCCAGUUCAUUCUCUGCUAGGGUCCCAUUCUUAUCAGCGUGGAUCUGACCGGCCAGCCAGGGUCAGGCAGCUGGACAGGGCCUAGAUCUGAAGGACAGGCCUGCUCAGAAGGGGAGUGGGAACAGCCCCUCCAAGAGGGAGGGAAGGCAGGGCCCCCACAAGGAGACACUCGGGUGGGGAGGGGGACAUGAGGCCCUUGACUCCCUGCCUGGGAGGCCCUCAUACCCUUGAACCCUGUGGCAGAGGGAAAAGGCAUUCAGGGGGUGGGCUUCUGGAAGGCCAGACGCCAACCCCCUGGCAUGGUGGCCUGGGAGAGGUUUGGUCUGCCCGAAGGGCGCCGUGGGGCCUUGGGACGUCUCAGAACCUGAUGGGGGGAGAGAACCUUACUCAAGCUGGAUGAGGUCCAAACCCUGGCCUUGCCCGUGGCCACAGCCCCUGGGGCAGCUGUGGAGGCCAGCAGCUGGCCCAGGCUCGGACGUCGCCUGAAAGGCAUGUCCGGGGCUGCUACUCCCUAAUCGGCUGCCAAAGAAAAUAUUUUCUGCAGGUUCCUUGUGAGCUGAGAAUGAAAACACAGCACCCGGCAGGGCGGGUUGGGGGUGGGCCUGAAAGGCCUGGCUUUCUCUGAGGGUCCGGAAGACACUGGGGGAUGGCGUCACUCAGGCACAGCUGGACGGCCAGGCCUGGAGGCCCAGGGGGUGGGGCAGGUGAGCAGAGACUCCGAGGGUGGGGAGCGCCCAGGACCGGGGCAGAAAAUGGGACUGUUGGAAAAGUUGUGUGCUCUAAAAAGGCCAAGACGACAUGACUCAGGCUGAACCUAAAAAUUCCAGGGAGGAGGGCACUCGACAGGACUUCUUGCAGGGGGGGGGGUUCCU